UCUCUGACAUGUCAGAUACUUUCCCACCCGGGAGCUACUGCUCCAGCUAGUCCCUCUGUCAAGCAUAGCCUUCCCUUAAACAUGUUCGGAUGACGCCUUCACCUCCUUCAAGUCUUCUUUCAAAUCUCCUCACCCAAGGAUGCCUUCCCUGAUCAGGCCCUCCCCUGAGUACCUGAUUUCGCACCUCAACCUGCACCUCUACCACUGAUCUACAUAUUUUUUCCAUAGAACUCAACAGCUUUUAACAUCAUUUCCUUAUUUCUUAUGUUUAGUAUCUGCCUCUCCCUGGUAGAAAAUUAACUCAGCAAGGGCAGAGAUCCAUAUCUACUUUGUUUACUGAUACAUCUAAGAAAAACAAUGCCUAGCACAUACAUGUUUAGUAGUUACUGAAUGAUGAACCAUGCUAUACAGAUUAACAAAAUAAAUUUGCUUAAUGGAAUUAUCUCCAGAAAAAUACUUUUGAAAAAAAAAAGUCAUCAUUGUUGGUAUAAUUGAUUUUUUUUUUUAAGUUUUUAGACUGAAACAAUGGGUCAAAACCUCCAGACUCAAAACGCUAUAUGUGUUAAAAUGAUGACAUAAAAUACCAGAGUAAGAAUAUCCUGUGCCCACCAAACUUGUCAGAUGCUUUACAUAACUCAUCACAAGUAUUAUUCUGCCCACUGAACAGAUGAGAAGACUGAGUCUCAGGAUAUUAAGUGCUUACCAAAGUCACACAGCUAGUCUGGGUUGGGAACAGGAUUUGAACUUGUCUAUAUGUUUCUACCCUGGCACUUAUCCCACCCUGCCUCCCUACCUCACUGAAAGUAGAUUUUUAAAUAAUUGCUUGCAUGGGGAUGAGAAUUACUCACCAUUUGCCUGUUAAAUUUCUCCACUGUGACUGAAGUUUGCCACUGACGACGUUUGAAAAGCUGGACCAUGAGUUCAAACGGCACAUACACACACUGGUAAACUCUCCCACUGGACACGAUGGGAUACAUCAAGUGAAUGUAAACAGCAGCUGGCUUGCAAACACUGGCCUAAAAGUUUACAAUUCUCUGAAUGGUAAACAACCCCUCACUAUCCCCUCAUCAUUUCCUUCUCCUCUUAUUCCCUCCCCAAAACAGAUGGCACAACACUGAUGUCAGUCAUUUCACUUGGAUUUUUAAAAAUACAUUGGUUCAUUCUUUUAAAAGUUUUAAGCACUGAAUAAAUGUAUUUUAAGUAGUAAUUAGCCUAUAUGGUAAGCAAAAUAAGGCCCCCCCCAAAGAUAUCCACAUCCUAAUCACCUUACAUGCCAAAAGGAACAUUGCGGCUAAGAUUAAGUUAAGGAUCCUGAGAUGGGAAGAUUAUUCUGGACUAUCUGGGUGAAGCCAAUGUAAUCCCGAAGGUCUCUGUAAGAAAGAGGCAGGAGAGGGCUUCCCUGCGGUGAAAAGAAGUCACUUUUGAUGUGUGUUUGGAGUCACUAUUCUAUGGUACUCAGCCCUAAGGAGACGGGACUCCGUAAGGCUGCUUAGCAUGGGGGUUUCUGCAGGAAUCAGGGACUCGUGUCACCGAGCGGGGCUGCUUUGGGGUGUCCAAGACAAUGUGAAAAGGUGACACCAGUGGGCAGAGUUUAGUAGAGAGUUAUGACCCCAUGAGCUCCCGUCUUCUGCCAAUCUCAUUGGUUCCCGAACUGAAGAUGACGUCAGAGGAGGGACAAGAGGAGGCCCGCUCUACUAGGGCCCACCCACUGGGCACACCACCGGCUGCUCUUUAAAGGGUCAGCGUAUCAGAUCUCACCAGAUCCUCAAAGCACAGUUGGAAAGAGAGGGCAGGGGUCAUCACACCAUUGUGCACAUAAGGAAAGAUGAGGGACUUGCCCAGCUACGGGCCGCACCCAGGUCCACGGGUCACAGGCCUUGGGCUCUGCAUCCUUUGCUCAUGUCUCCUGUGAGAAGGGCCCCAAUCAUAACCAGAGCCCUGACUGUUCAUAACUCACAUGUCAUAAUCCAACUUCCGGACUUCAUAGAACUGUGGAAUUCUGUGCUGUAUUUCACCUAGUUGGUUCUACUUUAUUUUCCUACAGUCUCCAGAAAGAUCCUUUCUACCAACCAAAUGCAUAUUAAGCAGACAGCAGUAAGUCCUUUUUUAUCUGACUGAAUAAUCUGAAAUAGAAAUUCCAGAGACCCUAGCAUUUGGUACAGAGCAGUAGGAAAAUUACAGAGCACUAUCGUUCCACUUUUUCAUCACAUCUGAAACUCUGAUCUAAUCCCAGGUUGCAACUAAAAUGCUGAAACACCGAAACAGAAACGAUGGUCUUUCAUAGUGUCAUAUAAAGUUUCUUUGCAUCUGAAACCCUUAAACUGAAGAUCACACUUGGUCACAGCAGAUAAGCAGUGAAGACAAGUCAGGAGGUGAUUAGCCAACAAAGAGCAGAGAUGAGACUCUGGCCCCAGAACACACAGAAAUGAAGGCAAGCAAAGAGCUGGGGGCUGAGAAAACUACAGACAAAUUUGGGGCACUUAACAUGAUUCCAGGGAGUUGUCAUGCGUCAUCGUAAGAAGAGAUCAGCUAUUUUAACUAACAGUA